rnacentral:rRNA from 1 species
ACGCACGCUGGCGGCGUGCUUAACACAUGCAGGUCGUACGGUAAGGCCCUUUCGGGGGUACACGAGUGGCGAACGGGUGAGUAACACGUGAGUAACCUGCCCACAACUUUGGGAUAACGCUAGGAAACUGGUGCUAAUACUGGAUAUGUGCUCCUGCUGCAUGGUGGGGGUUGGAAAGCUCCGGCGGUUGUGGAUGGACUCGCGGCCUAUCAGCUUGUUGGUGGGGUAGUGGCCUACCAAGGCGGCGACGGGUAGCCGGCCUGAGAGGGUGACCGGCCACAUUGGGACUGAGAUACGGCCCAGACUCCUACGGGAGGCAGCAGUGGGGAAUAUUGCACAAUGGGCGCAAGCCUGAUGCAGCAACGCCGCGUGCGGGAUGACGGCCUUCGGGUUGUAAACCGCUUUCAGCAGGGACGAAGCUUUUUGUGACGGUACCUGCAGAAGAAGCACCGGCUAACUACGUG